rnacentral:sRNA from 1 species
AAUAUUGUAAAUUUUAAUAUGUGCCCCAUACAAAUUUUGUUUCUAGAUCCGCCACUGUAAGUAGUCAUAUGAUCUUUUGAUUGAUAUAUUGU